CUAGGCAUGGCAUGAAAUUAGGCAACAGAGGAAGAAAAUGAACAGGGGGAUGAGCAGAAGCAGUUCAUCUGGACAGUUUCUUGCCUCAAAAAUCUGUUCUUCAAGCCAGAACAGGGUGGUGGACCAGAAGUAUUCCUCAGGAAUAGAAGAAUUUACUCCAGGGAUGUUUUUAGAAGAAAUCAAGGUUUGGUGACAAGACUGCUGCAAUCCAGACAUGAGGAUUAAUCAUUUUUGCUGGGUUUUUUUCUUACCAAGAAAGAAUGGGAGAUGGAGAACAGAAAGACAAUGCUUGCGCCUGAAGUCUAAAUGCAGAGCACCAGGAAGAAUGCAUCUAGGAUUUGCUGGAAAAUACUUGAAUCUGGAGAAACUAUCACUGCUUCUGGCAGAUGCUUGUGAAUCUCAACAGUGACAUUUCUCUGUUGCUCUCCUGUAUGCUGAAGAAAUGGCUGAACUCCGAAGAGUACCCACAACAAGCUUUGGUUCUUUGCUUGUUUAUUCUUGUAAAUGAAAUGUGUGUGAGGCCACAUUUCUCUCUGUGAUACCAUCUGGCAUGGAAUGAUCAAUUUCUAUGUGAAUAAAUUAUCUUGGACUCCAAAUGGGGGCA
rnacentral:lncRNA from 1 species